AAAAAAAUUAGCUGUGCGUGGUGGCGGGCGCCUGUAGUUCCAGCUGCUCUGGAGACUGAGGGAGGAGAAUGGCGUGAACCCGGGAGGCGGAGCUUGCAGUGAGCCGAGAUCGCGCCACUGCACUCCAGUGAGAUUCCGUCUCAAAAAAAAAACAAAAACAAAAACAAAACAACAAAAACAAAUGCAAAAGAUAGUGAGUUCUUAUGAGACCUGGUUGUUUAAAACUGCGUAGCACCUCCCCGCCCUUCCUCCUCCAGCCACAAGUGCCUCACCCCCCUUUGCCUUCCGCCAUGAAUAUGUUUCCUGAGGCCUCCCUAGAAGUUGAUGCUGCCAUGGUUCCUGUACAGCCUGCGGAGACGUCAUUAUUACAAUGAAGGGAAGAAAGGAAGACAUGAAGGGGAAAUGGGACUAUUUACCAAGUGUAUCUGCAUAGACUAAAGGAGACAAGAGGAAGUACUGAGCACCUUGAUUCCUGCAGAUAAUUAUUUAAGAACCAUAAGAAUUCUUUCCUAGCUUCUCAUAAGCCUGCUCCUUCAAAGGGUUAACUGCAGUGAAUCAAACUAUUGGAUUAUAAUUCCAUGAAGUAAGUUUAUUGAAGACAAACAGGCCUUGGGCCGCUGCCUCUGUCUCUCCUGCCUUCCCCACUGAAUCUCCAGCCCACAUUCACAAACAAAGACAAACCUGUGUAAACUGAAGCACCACAAAACUACUUUUAUGAAAGCAGAAUGGAAGAUUUCACCUGCAUUUCCUACAUUCAACUGAAUCCUUUAAAUUGACUGAGGCACAUCCUGUACCAAGGAGAGACCUUUGUUACUGCCUUUGAUCCUGAGACCUUCUGAGCCAGCCUCCUUGGUAUAACCACGCAUUUACGGAAGAUGACGUUACCAGCAGCCCUGGGGCGCAGUCAACAGCAGUGGAAGAGCUGGCUCAUGUGUGGCUCAGGCUGACUCCACAAUCAGAGUGAUUAUGUGGAAAUCAAUCAGAAUUUUCUUCUUAGAAGAUGUUUGUUCUGACAUAAUGACUGACUUUCCAGCUAAUUUUUAUUCAUAGGCUUCUCCUUGCACAAUGAUCUCUAUUUCUCUCAAUGUUAUUCUGUGUCUUUCUUGCUUGCCUGCACAUUCUGAAAAAAAAAGGAAAGCAAUUCCCUACAUUUUAUUUUGAUACUUAAUGUUGUUUGCUAACAUAUUCAGAACACAAUGCAACUUUAUAUAUUAGAGCACUUAUAAUAUAUAUUAGGAAAACAUCAAUUAGGUACCACCAGUUAUUUUAGACAGGUAUCUCUUAGGUAAAAUGUGGUGAAAAUAGAGGGGCAAUGAUAGAAUUCAUAUGUGAAAGAGUCAAUUGGCCAUCAUUAUGCCAAAAUUAUUUUGUGGUUCAGGGGACAUUUUAAACUUUAAUUUUUAAGAAUUAAACUUUAAUUAAAUUUAUUGUAGUUUAAAUGCAAUCACAAGGAAAGACUCUGAACUGGAAACACCAAGCCAAGCUCUUUCCUAGUUCUGGUCCCCUAUAAACCCUGAAAGUUAAUGCAAUUAUUGUAAUUUUUAAACCACCGAGUUCUCAGGGUGAUUAGUUAUGCAGCAAUAGAUAGCCUGAAAAGGACCAUUCUUUCUGGCACUGAAAAUUAAGAAGAGUGAUUAACAACAUAAGAAUGUAGUUUGUGCUGUCUGCCACAGAUUUAUGUUGUAGCUUCAGUGAUUGCUUCAAAGCACCCUUACUAAUUGCCAGCCUAUUGCUGAUACCUAGCUAAAUUAGCAUGUGUUAGUUUUGAUACCACUAUAGGCAUUUAAAGGAUAGCUGAUACAUUCUAUAUAAAAUAUAAUUAUUUUCCUAUCUUUAGUUUAUCCUAAAGUAGCAGCUAUUAUAUUCGCUUCUUGAUUAGCUUUAUACAUAACCAGAGAAAGUAAAAUAUCACAGAGUAUAUUUGAAGACAUAAAAGUCUUUGGACAAAGCUCAAGUAAUGAAUCAGGAUGCUAUUACAUCCUCCACAUGACAGUAAAUAUAUUUUAUAUUCCUAAAUUUUAAGCUUUUAACAAAAGCAAAUUUUAUACUGGACUAUUUCAAUUUCUAGGGAAAGGAAAUUAUCAUUUACUGUCUUUGAGGCUAUAAUCUAUUUAGCCAUUAUUUUUAUAUUGAUCAAUUUAUAAUAAAGGUAAGAGAAAAUACUACCACAUAUAUGUUGUUUAUAUAAUUUUAACUUUCAUAAUUAAAAUACUGGGUAUACUGCAAGAUGUCAAUAUUUAUAAUAGCUUAUAUUUGGAAACAAUUAUACUUUAUAUACUCCUAAUCCAUUGCCUUGUGUGUCAUUGAAGAAAUUGAAGUUCACAAUAAUGACUGAACAAAUGCUCAAAGCUGGUCUGUGGCAGAACCAAAAAUUUCCAUGGCACCUUUCUCUUUCCAUAUUGGGGUGAUCUGCCUAAUUUGACUUUCUGCUUAUAUGUCUAGACUCUACCCCUCAUUCCUUCUGCUAGUGUGUUGUUGAACCCUUUCUAUUAACCCACUCUCGAUUUUUCUGUUGCACAAUCAAUCUGUAGCCUGAAUGUUGAGUCCCAAAUGCAUGAGCUACCUGGCCGAGUAAUCUAACUAGAUUAGCCUGAGUAUAUCACUUUAAGGCCAAUGUAAAGUUAUGUUGUAACUACCUCAUAGUUUUGCAGAGGCAAGAAAUAGAAGUUAAGGAAGAGAAGAAGCCAAUCUUGAAUCAGUUAGAAUUUCCUUGGACAUAGAAAAUCUCUACAAGCAAAAACCCAUUUGAUUGAACAAGCAAGCUUAUGCAGUUAAAUAUAUCAAAGAUCUUGUCACAAAAAGUGUAAAGGGAAAGUAAAAUAAGGAGGGAGCAUGAAGAAGCCAGCUUAUAUUAAAGAUUCAAAGCAGGGAUAUAAGGAAAUUCAAGCCAAAAAUAAGGAAGAAUUCUUAUAAAUGCCCCAAGAAUGAAUUCGAUGUUUGGUCGAUAUUCCAACAGAUUUAGUAAUGCUAUUUUUAAAGUCAACAGGCUGCCCAUUUUUGCCUCACACUCUGACUGCAUGUAAUCUGUCAAGUACUCUGAUGAGUUCUGGAGAUGCUAAUGCAAAAAAGAUAUAAAAUCCUUACCUUGAAAAUGUAGUUCACAAUUUAGCCAUGGAGUUAUGGCAAGCAUCUUGUCUUCAAUUUUAGCCCCUCCUCCAUCCCUCUCCCAGACACCCAUUGUCCUCUUUCUCACCACAUCCACCCCCUUUUUUGUCCUGUCUUUGGUGCACUAUUUAUAAUUCUUCUCAUGUCUACCACAACUAUUUUGGGUAGUAAGAACAUCAGUAUGGAGACCCCUUAAUCCUAACUAAUAUCAACUCUAUCUGUUUGGUAUUAAUUCUUGUUUAUUGAACUUGAGGCAUUGAGUACUACAAAAAUUAUAAUACACUACUGGUGAACAUUACUUUAUUAAUGAUUAGGUUCCACUUGGAUGUUUGUCAUUCGUAUGUAGCUGUUCUCUCCUUGUAGCCUGUAAACUUUCUAUGGAUGUCACAAAAAGAGUUUUAAGGAUUUUGCUUAAAUUAAAAUUAAUACAUCAAGAAAAUACUAUGCCUCAAACAAAAAAUAAUCAGUUAAUUUAGUUUUUAGAAAUCUUUUACAAAAAACGUGAUAUUUAAUAAUCUUUAUGCAAGGAUUUUUGGGAUAUUAAAAUUGUCACAGAUUUAAUAAUACGUUUUAUUGUAUAAAAUUUUUCUUUUCUCUUCAAAGUGUUGGGAGAGUGAAUUCUCUAAGUAAAAACUGAAGAGUAAGAUGUUAUCAUUAAACAUUUCAGAAAAUGCACACUAUCGUAGACUGCGCACUGUGAAAAUGAUCAGCUAGUAGAGGUUUUGGUGAACAUAUAGUAACUUUUAUCAACAAGUAAUGUGAAUAUGUGAAAUCUAUUGCUUUUCCAAAAGAAAGAAACUUUUACACUUCUUGGUAAAGAUAAACUUUCAUGUAAGAAAAAAUAAAAACAUAAUUUUAGCAAUCCAAACCAUACUAAAAUCAUAAACACUUGACCACAUGUUUGAGUACC
rnacentral:lncRNA from 1 species